ACGGGAGGCAGCAGUGAGGAAUAUUGGUCAAUGGGCGGAAGCCUGAACCAGCCAUGCCGCGUGCAGGAAGACGGCCCUAUGGGUUGUAAACUGCUUUUGUAGUGGAGCAAUAAGGUGUACGUGUACACCGAUGAGAGUACAUUACGAAUAAGCAUCGGCUAACUCCGUGCCAGCAGCCGCGGUAAUACGGAGGAUGCGAGCGUUAUCCGGAUUUAUUGGGUUUAAAGGGUGCGUAGGCUGUUUGUCAAGUCAGAGGUGAAAGCCCGGGGCUUAACUCCGGAACUGCCUUUGAUACUGGCAGGCUUGAAUACUGUUGCCGUGGGAGGAAUGAGUAGUGUAGCGGUGAAAUGCAUAGAUAUUACUCAGAACACCGAUUGCGAAGGCAUCUCACGAAGCAGCGAUUGACGCUGAGGCACGAAAGCGUGGGGAUCAAACAGGAUUAGAUACCCUGGUA
rnacentral:rRNA from 1 species